AGUGAACGCUGGCGGUAGGCCUAACACAUGCAAGUCGAACGGCAGCACAGUAAGAGCUUGCUCUUACGGGUGGCGAGUGGCGGACGGGUGAGGUAUACAUCGGAAUCUACUUUUUCGUGGGGGAUAACGUAGGGAAACUUACGCUAAUACCGCAUACGACCUACGGGUGAAAGCAGUGGAUCUUCGCACCUUGCGCGAUUGAAUGAGCCGAUGUCGGAUUAGCUAGUUGGCGGGGUAAAGGCCCACCAAGGCGACGAUCCGUAGCUGGUCUGGGAGGAUGGUCAGCGGCCCUGGAGCUGAGACACGGUCCAGACUCCUACGGGAGGCAGCAGUCGGGAAUAUUGGACAAUGGGGGCAAGCCUGAUACAGCCAUACCGCGUGGGUGAAGAAGGCCUUCGGGUUGUAAAGCCCUUUUGUUGGGAAAGAAAAGCAGCAGGUUAAUACCCAGCUGUUCUGACGGUACCCAAAGAAUAAGCACCGGCUAACUUCGUG
rnacentral:rRNA from 1 species